UACAGAGGGUGCGAGCGUUAAUCGGAAUUACUGGGCGUAAAGCGCGCGUAGGCGGCUUUGCAAGUCGGGUGUGAAAUCCCCAGGCUUAACCUGGGAACUGCAUUCGAGACUGCAUUGCUAGAGUAUGGGAGAGGGAAGUGGAAUUUCCGGUGUAGCGGUGAAAUGCGUAGAUAUCGGAAGGAACAUCAGUGGCGAAAGCGACUUCCUGGACCAAUACUGACGCUCAUGUGCGAAAGCGUGGGGUGCAAACAGG
rnacentral:rRNA from 1 species